rnacentral:rRNA from 1 species
CGGCGAGUGAAGCGGCAAAAGCUCAAAUUUUAAAGCUGACAUCUUCGGUGUCCGCGUUGUAAUUUUGUGAGGCAUCUCCGGGUAGGGCGCCGGCCUAAGUUCCUUGGAACAGGACGUCACAGAGGGUGAGAAUCCCGUGCUUGGCUGGCUGUCCCCGUCCAUGUGAGGUGUCUUCGACGAGUCGAGUUGUUUGGGAAUGCAGCUCAAAAUGGGUGGUAAAUUUCAUCUAAAGCUAAAUAUUGGUGGGAGACCGAUAGCGCACAAGUAGAGUGAUCGAAAGAUGAAAAGCACUUUGAAAAUAGAGUUAAAAAGUACGUGAAAUUGUUGAAAGGGAAGCGCUUGAGACCAGACUUCGGUAAGGGGUGAUCAGCCGUCCUUUUGGGCGGUGCACUUGCCCCCCUCCGGGCCAGCAUCGGUUGAGGCGGCGGGAUAAAGGUCCCGGGAAUGUGGCUCCUUCACGGGAGUGUUAUAGCCCGGGUGAAUGCCGCCAGCUUCGACCGAGGACCGCACCCGCAAGGGUUAGGAUGCUUGGCAUAAUGGUCUUCAGCGACCCGUCUUGAAACACGGACCAAGGAGUCUAACAUCUAUGCGAGUGUUUGGGUGUCAAACCCUUGCGCGAAAUGAAAGUGAACGGAGGUGGGAACCCGCAAGGGCGCACCAUCGACCGGUCCCGAAGUCUUCUGAAGGAUCUGAGUAGGAGCAUAGCUGUUGGGACCCGAAAGAUGGUGAACUAUGCCUGAAUAGGGUGAAGCCAGAGGAAACUCUGGUGGAGGCUCGCAGCGGUUCUGACGUGCAAAUCGAUCGUCAAAUUUGGGUAUAG